AGGCCUCAGUACGGCGAGUGAAGCGGCAACAGCUCAAAUUUGAAAUCUGGCCGCAAGGUCCGAGUUGUAAUUUGCAGAGGAUGCUUUUGGCGAGGUGCCUUCCGAGUUCCCUGGAACGGGACGCCAUAGAGGGUGAGAGCCCCGUACGGUUGGACCACCGAGCCUCUGUAAAGCUCCUUCGACGAGUCGAGUAGUUUGGGAAUGCUGCUCUAAAUGGGAGGUGUACGUCUUCUAAAGCUAAAUACCGGCCAGAGACCGAUAGCGCACAAGUAGAGUGAUCGAAAGAUGAAAAGCACUUUGAAAAGAGGGUUAAAAAGUACGUGAAAUUGUUGAAAGGGAAGCGUUUAUGACCAGACUUGGGCUUGGUUGAACAUCCGGCGUUCUCGCCGGUGCACUCUGCCAGUCCAGGCCAGCAUCAGUUUGUCCCGGGGGAUAAAGGCGGUGGGAAUGUGGCUCCCCCGGGAGUGUUAUAGCCCGCCGUGCAAUGCCCUGGGACGGACUGAGGAACGCGCUUCGGCACGGAUGCUGGCGUAAUGGUCAUCAACGACCCGUCUUGAACCAACGGACCA
rnacentral:rRNA from 1 species